rnacentral:tRNA from 1 species
GCCGCGUUAGCUCAGCUGGUAGAGCAACCGCCUUGUAAGCGGUAGGUCGUCAGUUCGAGUCUGACACGCGGCACCA